AGCUUUGCACAGUGGCAGCAUUGUAGCCAAUGAUGUUUAUCUGAGGCUUGAUAAUUGCUAAUUGAAUAUUGUAAUGUACAAUUCCUCAUUUAGUGUCCAAUUUAUGUAAAAACCUAUCACAGG
ensembl:snRNA U4 U4 spliceosomal RNA